rnacentral:rRNA from 1 species
UGCAGUCGACGAGAACGGAUAUUAGCUUGCUAAUAUUGUCAGCUAAGUGGCGCACGGGUGAGUAAUAUAUAGUUAAUCUGCCCCAAAGAAGAGAAUAAUUGUUGGAAACGACUUGUAACGCUCUAUAUGCCUUUAUUACAUAAGUAAGCAAGGGAAACAUUUAUGGCUUUGGGAUGAGACUGUACGGUAUCAGCUAGUUGGUGAGGUAAUGGCUCACCAAGGCUAUGACAUCUAACUGGUUUGAGAGGAUGAUCAGUCACACUGGAACUGAGACACGGUCCAGACCCCUACGGGAGGCAGCAGUGGGGAAUAUUGCACAAUGGAGGAAACUCUGAUGCAGCAACGCCGCGUGGAGGAUGACACAUUUCGGUGCGUAAACUCCUUUUAUAUGAGAAGAUAAUGACGGUAUCAUAUGAAUAAGCACCGGCUAACUCCGUGCCAGCAGCCGCGGUAAUACGGGGGGUGCAAGCGUUACUCGGAAUCACUGGGCGUAAAGAGCAUGUAGGCUGGUUUGUAAGUUGGAAGUGAAAUCCUAUGGCUUAACCAUAGAACUGCUUCCAAAACUGCAGACCUAGAAUAUGGGAGAGGUAGAUGGAAUUUCUGGUGUAGGGGUAAAAUCCGUAGAGAUCAGAAGGAAUACCGGUUGCGAAGGCGAUCUACUGGAACAUUAUUGACGCUGAGAUGCGAAAGCGUG